UUUGUAUAAUUCGUUUAUUAUGUACUUCAGGUGGCUACGUAUACGAAACGGUGACAGUUUCUAAAGCGAAAAACUUCACGUUGGUGGGGCAACCUUCGAAAGAGUUCAGCUGGUUUCCGGGCUAUACAUGGACAAUUAUGCAAUGUAAGUUAUGUCAAGUCCAUUUGGGGUGGAUGUUUACCUCAAAACUACUUCAGCCCCCUUUUUUCUAUGGUCUUGCUCGAAGUGGUUUCGACAUUCAAAUUGUAGCAAAUGAGGAGUCUAGUGAAUAGAUCUCGUUCUCAGCUUCAAUCUCGGUACCUACCUAUUUGUGUAAAUUUCUACUUAUACCAA